rnacentral:rRNA from 1 species
UGUAAGCGUAUACCAAAGUUGUUGCAGUUAAAACGCUCGUAGUCGGAAUUUGGCAGUUCCGGAAGUGUGCACGUCGUGUGCGCACUUUGCGGGGACUGCUUUUGUGGUCUUGCGUAGGAUGAGGCACUUUCAUUAGUGAACGUCCUCACGCAACCACUCUUUACUGUGAGAAAAUCAGAGUGCACAAAGCAGGCAUUUGCCGUGAAUGUAUUAGCAUGGAAUAAUAGAAUAGGACUCGGUUCUAUUUUGUUGGUUUGUUGGGACUGAGUAAUGAUUAAGAGGGACAGUUGGGGGCAUUUGUAUUCCGGCGCUAGAGGUGAAAUUCUUAGAUUGCCGGAAGACAAACUGCUGCGAAAGCGUCUGCCAAGGAUGUUUUCAUUGA